rnacentral:rRNA from 1 species
GGGUGCGAUCAUACCAGCACUAAUGCAACGGAUUCCAUCAGAACUUUGAAGUUAAACGUGCUUGGGCGUAAUUUAAAUAUGAUGUCCUCGUGUUGCACCCC